rnacentral:rRNA from 1 species
UUAUACCGUGAAACUGCGAAUGGCUCAUUAAAUCAGUUAUCGUUUAUUUGAUAGUACCUUACUACUUGGAUAACCGUGGUAAUUCUAGAGCUAAUACAUGCUAAAAACCCCGACUUCGGGAGGGGUGUAUUUAUUAGAUAAAAAACCAAUGCCCUUCGGGGCUCUUUGGUGAUUCAUGAUAACUUAACGGAUCGCAUGGCCUUGCGCCGGCGACGGUUCAUUCAAAUUUCUGCCCUAUCAACUUUCGAUGGUAAGGUAUUGGCUUACCAUGGUUUCAACGGGUAACGGGGAAUUAGGGUUCGAUUCCGGAGAGGGAGCCUGAGAAACGGCUACCACAUCCAAGGAAGGCAGCAGGCGCGCAAAUUACCCAAUCCCGACACGGGGAGGUAGUGACAAUAAAUACUGAUACAGGGCUCUUUUGGGUCUUGUAAUCGGAAUGAGUACAAUUUAAACCCCUUAACGAGGAACAAUUGGAGGGCAAGUCUGGUGCCAGCAGCCGCGGUAAUUCCAGCUCCAAUAGCGUAUAUUAAAGUUGUUGCAGUUAAAAAGCUCGUAGUUGAACCUUGGGCCUGGCUGGCCGGUCCGCCUCACCGCGUGUACUGGUCCGGCCGGGCCUUUCCUUCUGGAGAACCCCAUGCCCUUCACUGGGCGUGUGGGGGAACCAGGACUUUUACUUUGAAAAAAUUAGAGUGUUCAAAGCAGGCCUUUGCUCGAAUACGUUAGCAUGGAAUAAUAGAAUAGGACGUGCGAUCCUAUUUUGUUGGUUUCUAGGACCGCCGUAAUGAUUAUAGGGACAGUCGGGGGCAUCAGUAUUCAAUUGUCA